AGUCAUGUUGGUCAUGUGAUGUCUAGCAGUUCUGACACCAAAUAAAGUGAACUGCAGUUCUUUAAAGGAAAGUUCUCUUUCUUUUAUUGUACAGCGGCUAGGUGGUUAGUUGCAGCUCUGCUAAAAAUAACUAAUUUCCUCAUUUAACUCUGGAAUCACAACUUCAUUUUUUCUUGUUUUUUAGCUGUGGGCUCAUCUGGGAGCCAGUUUCAGUCUGUGAAUAUGCUGACCGACAACAUGUUACUGACAGUUUUCUUUGUUUCAGGUGCUCUGGCUGCUUGUCCUAAAGAGUCAGCCCUAUUCAUUACGGCACCAAAGAACAUGGAAGCACUGAGUGGAUCUUGUCUGCUAAUCCCAUGUAACUUUAGUGAUAAACCAGAAACAGGAUUCAACAGCACAAGAACAACCUUUGGAGUGUGGAUUAAAAAGGACUACAGAUUCAACAACAAUAUAAAUAAUGUUAUUUUCAACAGUAGUGGGCCAGUUACCACCUAUCCAAUGAGUAUUACUGGAGACCUGAGUCAGAAACAAUGCACCACCUUGUUUUCUAGUUUUAUCCCAAAUUACACAGACACAUACUACUUCAGAAUAGAAAACAGGCCAUUUCGGGCAACAGCUGUUUGUGAUCCUCUUCAAAUAACAGUUCAAGGUAAGAGAGAUUUUUGUAUCUUUCUAUAAUGUUG